UACGGGGGGAGCAAGCGUUGUUCGGAUUUACUGGGCGUAAAGGGCGCGUAGGCGGCCACCGCAAGUCGACUGUGAAAUCUCCGGGCUUAACCCGGAAAGGUCAGCCGAUACUGCGGGGCUAGAGUGCAGAAGGGGCAACUGGAAUUCUCGGUGUAGAGGUGAAAUUCGUAGAUAUUCGGAAGAACACCAGUGGCGAAGGCGACUCACUGGACACGUAUUGACGCUGAGGUGCGAAAGCGUGGGGAGCAAACAGG
rnacentral:rRNA from 1 species